rnacentral:rRNA from 1 species
CGUUGCACUAUCGUUAACUGAAUACAUAGGUUAACGAGGCGAACCGGGGGAACUGAAACAUCUAAGUACCCCGAGGAAAAGAAAUCAACCGAGAUUCCCCCAGUAGCGGCGAGCGAACGGGGAGCAGCCCGGAGUCUGAAUCAGCUUGUGUGUUAGUGGAACGGUCUGGAAAGUCCGACGGUACAGGGUGAUAGUCCCGUACACGAAAGCACACUUGCUGUGAACUCGAAGAGUAGGGCGGGACACGUGGUAUCCUGUCUGAAUAUGGGGGGACCAUCCUCCAAGGCUAAAUACUCCUGACUGACCGAUAGUGAACCAGUACCGUGAGGGAAAGGCGAAAAGAACCCCGGCGAGGGGAGUGAAAAAGAACCUGAAACCGUGUACGUACAAGCAGUGGGAGCCUCUUUAUGGGGUGACUGCGUACCUUUUGUAUAAUGGGUCAGCGACUUAUAUUCUGUAGCAAGGUUAACCGUAUAGGGGAGCCGAAGGGAAACCGAGUCUUAACUGGGCGUUAAGUUGCAGGGUAUAGACCCGAAACCCGGUGAUCUAGCCAUGGGCAGGUUGAAGGUUGGGUAACACUAACUGGAGGACCGAACCGACUAAUGUUGAAAAAUUAGCGGAUGACCUGUGGCUGGGGGUGAAAGGCCAAUCAAACCGGGAGAUAGCUGGUUCUCCCCGAAAGCUAUUUAGGUAGCGCCUCGUGAACUCAUCUUCGGGGGUAGAGCACUGUUUCGGCUAGGGGGCCAUCCCGGCUUACCAACCCGAUGCAAACUACGAAUACCGAAGAAUGUUAUCACGGGAGACACACGGCGGGUGCUAACGUCCGUCGUGAAGAGGGAAACAACCCAGACCGCCAGCUAAGGUCCCAAAGUCAUGGUUAAGUGGGAAACGAUGUGGGAAGGCACAGACAGCCAGGAUGUUGGCUUAGAAGCAGCCAUCAUUUAAAGAAAGCGUAAUAGCUCACUGGUCGAGUCGGCCUGCGCGGAAGAUGUAACGGGGCUAAACCAUGCACCGAAGCUGCGGCAGCGACGCUUANGCGUUGUUGGGUAGGGGAGCGUUCUGUAAGCCGUUGAAGGUGUCCUGUGAGGGGUGCUGGAGGUAUCAGAAGUGCGAAUGCUGACAUAAGUAACGAUAAAGCGGGUGAAAAGCCCGCUCGCCGGAAGACCAAGGGUUCCUGUCCAACGUUAAUCGGGGCAGGGUGAGUCGACCCCUAAGGCGAGGCCGAAAGGCGUAGUCGAUGGGAAACAGGUUAAUAUUCCUGUACUUGGUGUUACUGCGAAGGGGGGACGGAGAAGGCUAUGUCAGCCGGGCGACGGUUGUCCCGGUUUAAGCAUGUAGGCGGAGGUUCCAGGUAAAUCCGGUACCUUAUUAACGCUGAGGUGUGAUGACGAGGCACUACGGUGCUGAAGUGAUAAAUGCCCUGCUUCCAGGAAAAGCCUCUAAGCAUCAGGUAACACGAAAUCGUACCCCAAACCGACACAGGUGGUCAGGUAGAGAAUACCAAGGCGCUUGAGAGAACUCGGGUGAAGGAACUAGGCAAAAUGGUGCCGUAACUUCGGGAGAAGGCACGCUGAUGUGUAGGUGAAGCCCCUGCGGGCGGAGCUGAAAUCAGUCGAAGAUACCAGCUGGCUGCAACUGUUUAUUAAAAACACAGCACUGUGCAAACACGAAAGUGGACGUAUACGGUGUGACGCCUGCCCGGUGCCGGAAGGUUAAUUGAUGGGGUUAGCGGCAACGCGAAGCUCUUGAUCGAAGCCCCGGUAAACGGCGGCCGUAACUAUAACGGUCCUAAGGUAGCGAAAUUCCUUGUCGGGUAAGUUCCGACCUGCACGAAUGGCGUAAUGAUGGCCAGGCUGUCUCCACCCGAGACUCAGUGAAAUUGAACUCGCUGUGAAGAUGCAGUGUACCCGCGGCAAGACGGAAAGACCCCGUGAACCUUUACUAUAGCUUGACACUGAACACUGGUCCUUGAUGUGUAGGAUAGGUGGGAGGCUUUGAAGCGUGGACGCCAGUCUGCGUGGAGCCAACCUUGAAAUACCACCCUUUAAUGGCUGGUGUUCUAACGUAGACCCGUAAUCCGGGUUGCGGACAGUGUCUGGUGGGUAGUUUGACUGGGGCGGUCUCCUCCCAAAGAGUAACGGAGGAGCACGAAGGUUGGCUAAUCCUGGUCGGACAUCAGGAGGUUAGUGCAAUGGCAUAAGCCAGCUUGACUGCGAGCGUGACGGCGCGAGCAGGUGCGAAAGCAGGUCAUAGUGAUCCGGUGGUUCUGAAUGGAAGGGCCAUCGCUCAACGGAUAAAAGGUACUCCGGGGAUAACAGGCUGAUACCGCCCAAGAGUUCAUAUCGACGGCGGUGUUUGGCACCUCGAUGUCGGCUCAUCACAUCCUGGGGCUGAAGUAGGUCCCAAGGGUAUGGCUGUUCGCCAUUUAAAGUGGUACGCGAGCUGGGUUUAGAACGUCGUGAGACAGUUCGGUCCCUAUCUGCCGUGGGCGCUGGAGAAUUGAGGGGGGCUGCUCCUAGUACGAGAGGACCGGAGUGGACGCAUCACUGGUGUUCGGGUUGUCAUGCCAAUGGCACUGCCCGGUAGCUAAAUGCGGAA